rnacentral:lncRNA from 1 species
UGAGAUCGUAGCACAUUCUCUCCGAAUAGAAUCACGCUUUCGCUACGCUCUCGCUACGAUGGUACAGCGACCUUUGCGAUCUUACUGCGACCUUAGCGCGCUCUCACUACGCUUCUACUACGACAUGAUUUCGCCACGACCGCAACACGAUUGUUUUGAACAUGUUCAAAGUUGUCCACGCUCAUCACGAUCUUGAAGACCUCACCACGACCGUGAUACGACCUUACUACGAUCUACACGAUCGUACUACGAUCAUCAAAAUUUGCAUUUUUUUCACAGAUCGUAGUGCGAUCGUGGCCUAGUGGGACUGCGGUAUUAGACAGUACUUUACAUACGAAGAAACAACUCAGUCUCAUGCUACUUAGUGGACAUUUUGAUGAGUUAGUCUCAUGCUACUUAGUGGACAUUUUGAUGAGUUUAGUAGUUUACAAAACCGUUUCGUAGUGGACAAAUUGUGUCGUAAUUGAUAUCAACUCAAUAUUAAAUUGAUAAAAACAUACUGAAAAUUACAUGGUACUAACCCUUGUUAAUUGUUUUGUACAAAUAUAAUUGAAAAAUGAGUAUACAAAACGACUGCAUGCCAUGGUAGUUGUAGUGUCCCGGCACUACGAAACGAUUUUCUCCCGCAAACCGAAUAAGGAAAUAGAAAUCCAAAUAAGGAAAUAGAAACCGAAUAAGGAAAAAGUAACUGAA